GACGAACGCUGGCGGCGUGCCUAAUACAUGCAAGUUGAGCGCUGAAGGUUGGUACUUGUACCAACUGGAUGAGCAGCGAACGGGUGAGUAACGCGUGGGGAAUCUGCCUUUGAGCGUGGGACAACAUUUGGAAACGAAUGCUAAUACCGCAUAAAAACUUUAAACACAAGUUUUAAGUUUGAAAGAUGCAAUUGCAUCACUCAAUGAUGAUCCCGCGUUGUAUUAGCUAGUUGGUGAGGUAAAGGCUCACCAAGGCGAUGAUACAUAGCCGACCUGAGAGGGUGAUCGGCCACAUUGGGACUGAGACACGGCCCAAACUCCUACGGGAGGCAGCAGUAGGGAAUCUUCGGCAAUGGACGAGAGUCUGAACGAGAAAAGCCGCGUGAGUGAAGAAGGUUUUCGGAUCGUAAAACUCUGUUGGUAGAGAAGAACGUUGGUGAGAGUGGAAAGCUCAUCAAGUGACGGUAACUACCCAGAAAGGGACGGCUAACUACGUG
rnacentral:rRNA from 1 species